rnacentral:lncRNA from 1 species
GUGCCCUGACAGGCCUCCGGAUGGACCCCCGUGGCCUGGCAGCCCCGCUUCCCCUAGAAGCACCCACCUGGGCUUGCGGGGCAUACCCUGGCCUCACCUCUGAGUAACUGAGCCAGACCCAGGAAGAUUCUGGGGCAGAGCGUGUCAGGGCCCCUUCGCCAUCUCAGAUCUUAGGUGGUCAACUGCUCCCUUCCCCUACCUGGCCCCCAGGGGCCUGGCUCCUGGCCCUGCCCCUCCUCCCGGAGCCUGGCUCCUCCCUCCAUGGGGGCGGUGGGGUUGGAGUUGGGGCUGGGGAGGGCUGUGCUGCUGCAUGCAUGGGCCGGGCAAGUCAUGAGUGCCAGGGACAAAUCCCUCCAUCCCUGUGUGUCGCCCCAGGAGCAUGCGGGGCUCAGGCACUGUGGAGUCCCUGCUUGCCCAGGGGCCAUGGCCAUGGGGCUAAGACUCAGGUGUCCAGUGACCAUGAAGGAGCAGAGAAAGGGCUGGAGGGGCCCCUGGAGUGGGAGGGGGAUAUCCUGCAGUGCCCCCAGGGCAGGGCUGGGGGGCCUGGCAGACCCUCCCUGGGCCCAGGCCUUGCUGAGGAAUGUGGACCAGAUCCCCCCGCCUGGGGAUCCCUGGCCCCCUGCAGCCUCCAGGGCAAAUGUUUCCAGCCCCACUCCUGGAGAUGUGGUUUACUGAACUCUCCAUGAAGAGAACGUGCAACGGCCAGAGGCUGCGAAGGAUCCGCUGCACCUCCAACCGUCACACUCAGCAGUGUCCACGCCUUUCCGGGGAGCCCAGGGAGCUCUGCGCAUCGCCCGCCCCAUUCAGACACGCCUCCGGAACUGUGAGAAGUAUACUUCUGUUGUGAAGCCACCGCCUGUGGUGUUUUGUGACGGCCGCCCCAGCUGCCCUGAGACAGUGUCCGACGUUCGUUCAUCCAUCCAUCCAUUCAUUCUGUCAUUCAUUCACCCUCACUGGGAGGCACUCAGCCACUUCUGAGGACAGCAGUGGUUCAAAGAGACACGACUGGCAGCGUCGUGGGUUGUGUUUAGUGAGAGGAGGGACUGCAGAGGCAGGGGGCAGAGAGGCCGGGAGAAACCCAGCAAGAGGCCAGGAGCAGAGGCUGGGCGAGGUGAGGCUGGGCGGCCCUGACCUGUGGGGCCCGGGGGCGGAAGCAAUAGGUGUGGGGUAGGGGGGCAGUAGGUGAAAGAGGAGAGGGGUGGUUACCCCUAGGCCUGACUGGGCCAGACCCGCCCCCCCUCCAGGCCCCCUGGCCUGUCCUGGCCCCAGGACCCGGCUGGCCCCCCGGCAGGGCUCCCUCGG